CCACUCCUGCUCCCCCCGCCACCCUCUCUCUCCCUCUUUGCCUCGCGCCGCCGCCUCCCCUCCCCUCCCCUUCUCCCUCUCUGCCUGCCUCCGUCGACCCUUCCCGCCGCCGCCCGCUCCCGCGGGAUCCACGCCACCCCUCUCCCCAUUAUCGCCUCCUCUCUCUCUCCCUCUCUCUCUCUCUCUCGGCCCACCCAUCCCCCCUCCGCUCGGCACAGGCCGACGUGGAUCCGGUGGACCUGCUCGCCGCGCGGCCGGCAGUGGCUACGUGCGGGAGAUAGAGGCCGCGCCACACACGCGAGGAGGAGGAGGAGCAGCGCAGAUCCCGCACGGGCGCAAGAGCAGUCCAGCGACGCCUUCCCGUUCGCCUCGCCGUCCUCGCUCUCCUAGCUUGGAUCCCAUGUCGGCCCAGAAGCCGGCGACCGGCGCGGGCGCGUGCUCUAGCCAGGAGAAAGGGAGCAGAACACCUCUGGAGCGGACGGCGGAUGCGGCGAAGGCGCUGUACCACCUCCGUGUCACCUUCUUCCCCCAGGACCCUGCCGAGAAGGCCGCCGCACUCCGCGCCGGCGCCGCCCUCGCCCUCCUCGACGCUCUCUUUGGUACGUGCCUUUCCACCCGCCGGCAUCCGCCGUUUGCUGCAGCUGAUUCGGUUAGUAGCACACCGGGUAGUAGUGACGCGGAGGCCGGUGUCGGCUGCACGCCACUGAUUCGAAAAUUUGAUCACUACCGCUGGUGGAUUACCUAUUUACAUUGGACUUAGCAUCUGGAUAGUUGUGAUCUAGAACAAAUAAACUCGUUCUACAAGAUGUGGCCCUCCGCACAUGGAUAUUAUGCGCACUUCCUUGCAAGCAAGGCAUCUUUGGUGGCCUCUGUGUGAUCUCCAACGCCUUAGAGUGCGCCGGCCAGAGCUCAAGCAACUGGAGUCGCUGCUGACAUGGAUAACACCCAGCACCUGCUCGAGGAAAUGCCUGCAAGCACAAUGAUUACCGUAGCUCCAAUCAUCAAGCUAUUGAUCCAUUGGUUCAUACAUAUCAAUCUGUGAUGUCCAUGUAUCUUGACUCAUGAGUAAACAUCAGUUUCUUCUUCGCCCAUUGAUAGUUGUAUGUUUAUAUAUGCUCUUUCCUAUUUACAGACUAAGACUUAUAUCGUUUUGAUUUAUCAGUUUUUUAGAUCUUGUUUACUUUCUUAUGACGUUGAAAUUCUGCCUAUGUCAUUUCAGGAUCUUCUGUUUUUGGCUUGCAGUCAUCCAGAUAAUAGAACCACGAUUAUUUCAAUUGUAGAGUGGCCAGAAUGGAUUUUGGAGGUUUUUGAUUUCUAAUCAUGAGAUGGGAGCUAAGAAAAAACUGAUGGUGUAAGCAUGAGUGAGAUUGAAGACCCCACACACAAUUUCCUGAUUCUCAUGCUGGAGCAUUCAA